CACAGAUGAAGUAUAUACCAGAUGUGUAACUUAAUAGGACUUCGUGUCCUCAAAUUUCCCUAGAUGUACACGUCAUGCUCACGCCAUGUUGCUAGGAAGAUGGCGUCCUGGAAAACAUGAACUUUUGCAUUUUAUUGCGGCUUUCUUGGAUCGAAAUUUAUGGAUUAAACAAUCAAGAGCAUCAUUUGUUGAAUGUUUAAAGUUGUUAAAAGCAAUUAAAGUUGUAGAAAAGGUGUUGAAAACAUUUUUGAAGGCAAUGACGUACUACCAAAUGACGAAUAAUCACGCGAGCGACACUUGCUAGGAAGAUGGCGACCAUGGGACAACUUUUUUACUGAAGUUACACAUCUGUCCUUACUUAAUCUAUGGCACUGAUGAAGAUCCGGGCUUACGGAUCGAAAGCUUUGCAGUAAUAAAUUUACGUGGUGUUUCCACAAACAAAACCUAUUAUAUUUUAUCACCAUGCAAACAUACAAAGAACUUAUUUUG